rnacentral:rRNA from 1 species
CAAUAGCGUAUAUUUAAGUUGUUGCAGUUAAAAAGCUCGUAGUUGGAUUUCGGGUGGGUACCGCCGGUCUCCCACUGGGUAUGUACUGGCGUGGCCCGCCUUGCUGUCGGGGACGAUCUCCUGGGCUUUACUGUCCGGGAAUCGGAGUCGACGAUGUUACUUUGAGUAAAUUAGAGUGUUCAAAGCAAGCCUACGCUCUGAAUAUAAUAGCAUGGGAUAACACGACAGGACUCUGGCCUAUCGUGUUGGUCUGUAGGACCGGAGUAAUGAUUAAGAGGGACAGUCGGGGGCAUUCGUAUUCCAUUGUCAGAGGUGAAAUUCUUGGAUUUAUGGAAGACGAACAUCUGCGAAAGCAUUUGUCAAGGAUGUUUUCAUUGAUCAAGAACGAAAGUUGGGGGCU